rnacentral:sRNA from 1 species
CGGGCGCGCGCCGCUGGGAGGGCGGGGUGGGUGGCUGGAGGUGCUGGAGAAUCUGGUAAAAGCACCAUUGUGAAGCAGAUGAGGAUCCUGCAUGUUAAUGGGUUUAAUGGAGACAGUGAGAAGGCAACCAAAGUGCAGGACAUCAAAAACAACCUGAAAGAGGCGAUUGAAACCAUUGUGGCCGCCAUGAGCAACCUGGUGCCCCCCGUGGAGCUGGCCAACCCCGAGAACCAGUUCAGAGUGGACUACAUUCUGAGUGUGAUGAACGUGCCUGACUUUGACUUCCCUCCCGAAUUCUAUGAGCAUGCCAAGGCUCUGUGGGAGGAUGAAGGAGUGCGUGCCUGCUAUGAACGCUCCAACGAGUACCAGCUGAUUGACUGUGCCCAGUACUUCCUGGACAAGAUCGACGUGAUCAAGCAGGCUGACUACGUGCCGAGCGAUCAGGACCUGCUUCGCUGCCGUGUCCUGACUUCUGGAAUCUUUGAGACCAAGUUCCAGGUGGACAAAGUCAACUUCCACAUGUUUGACGUGGGUGGCCAGCGCGAUGAACGCCGCAAGUGGAUCCAGUGCUUCAACGAUGUGACUGCCAUCAUCUUCGUGGUGGCCAGCAGCAGCUACAACAUGGUCAUCCGGGAGGACAACCAGACCAACCGCCUGCAGGAGGCUCUGAACCUCUUCAAGAGCAUCUGGAACAACAGAUGGCUGCGCACCAUCUCUGUGAUUCUGUUCCUCAACAAGCAAGAUCUGCUCGCUGAGAAAGUCCUUGCUGGGAAAUCGAAGAUUGAGGACUACUUUCCAGAAUUUGCUCGCUACACUACUCCUGAGGAUGCUACUCCCGAGCCCGGAGAGGACCCACGCGUGACCCGGGCCAAGUACUUCAUUCGAGAUGAGUUUCUG